AGUGAACGCUGGCGGUAUGCCUAACACAUGCAAGUCGAACGGCAGCACAGUAAGAUCUUGCUCUUACGGGUGGCGAGUGGCGGACGGGUGAGGAAUACAUCGGAAUCUACUUUUUCGUGGGGGAUAACGUAGGGAAACUUACGCUAAUACCGCAUAUGUCCUACGGGUGGAAGCAGGGGAUCUUCGGAGCUUUCGCGAUUGUAUUAGCCGAUGUCGGAUUAGCUAGUUGGCUGGGUAAAGGCCCACCAAGGCGACGAUCCGUAGCUGGUCUGAGAGGAUGAUCAGCCACACUGGAACUGAGACACGGUCCAGACUCCUACGGGAGGCAGCAGUGGGGAAUAUUGGACAAAGGGCGCAAGCCUGAUCCAGCCAUACCGCGUGGGUGAAGAAGGCCUUCGGGUUGUAAAGCCCUUUUGUUGGGAAAGAAAAGCAGCAGGUUAAUACCCCGCUGUUCUGACGGUACCCAAAGAAUAAGCACCGGCUAACUACGUG
rnacentral:rRNA from 1 species